rnacentral:lncRNA from 1 species
AGGGAGGAGACGAGCACGAAAAGAUUGGGGGCGACGACGGCUAGGAUUGUCGAGUGCUGAACGCCUGAACUUAGUAGCACGCAGCAUUGAACUAGAUCAGAACCAGAACCCUCGAGUUUGUAUGUGUGCGUAUAGAGAGAGAGAGAGAGAGAGAGAGAGAGAAAGGUCGACCACGUUACACUCGAGUGUAGCGAGCCCUGGAUUUGGUUGGUCUAUCUGCCAUCCAUUCAGCACAAAUCGUGAGGAAAGGAGCGCCUCCUGUUACCUGUUA